GUCUACGGCCAUACCACCCAGAAUGCAUCUAAUCCUGUCUGAUCUCAGAAGCUAAGCAGGGUCGGGACUGGUUAGUACUUGGAUGGGAGAAAUUCUACUCCUAGGCA
rnacentral:rRNA from 1 species